UAAGGAAUAUUGGUCAAUGGACGCAAGUCUGAACCAGCCAUGCCGCGUGAAGGAUGAAGGUCCUCUGGAUUGUAAACUUCUUUUAUCUGGGACGAAAACGGGAUUUUUAUCUCAAUUGACGGUACCAGAGGAAUAAGCACCGGCUAACUCCGUGCCAGCAGCCGCGGUAAUACGGAGGGUGCGAGCGUUAUCCGGAUUUACUGGGUUUAAAGGGUGCGUAGGUGGGCUUAUAAGUCAGUGGUGAAAUCUCCGAGCUUAACUUGGAAACUGCCGUUGAUACUAUAGAUCUUGAAUUAUCUGGAGGUAAGCGGAAUAUGUCAGGUAGCGGUGAAAUGCUUAGAUAUGACAUAGAACACCAAUUGCGAAGGCAGCUUACUACAUAUAAAUUGACGCUGAGGCACGAAAGCGUGGGGAUCA
rnacentral:rRNA from 1 species